rnacentral:lncRNA from 1 species
GUAAGAUUUUAUUCCAUUUCACUGUCUUAAAAUUUUUAAGUUUUUAAUUAAUUAAAUUAGUUUUUACUUGUGACAUAAUAGUGAAAUGGUAUUAACUGAAGCGAUAUUAAAUGAAGAGCUACUACAUAUUAUUAAUUUAAGAAUUAUUAUAAUAUAAAUAUGUAAUUAAUUAAUAUUACUAAUUUUAGAAAGAAUCCAGACACUUAGAACCUUUCAUCUUAUAUUCUUGAGUAUAGUAUAAGUUAUUUAAUUUGUGAAAUUAUCUUAUUAAAAUAAUUCAUGAUUAUCAGAAUUAGUUUUAUUGUAAAUGGUAGAAAAACAAAUUAUAUGAAAUCAACAGCUGAAAAUUAUUUAAUUAAAUCAUCAUUGAUUUUUCAGUAUUUUCAUUCCAUAUUAGGAAAUAUGAGUAAAACAAUUAUAAUACCUGUAGUAUUCCUGAGAAUGAGCAGGAAGGAAUUCCCACCCAUUCUUGGGAAUUUUUUCAUUUUCCCAUUCUCAAAUCCCGAGAAAAGUUUGUCAGGGAAAUUAAGAAAAUCAGCUCCUAGAACUCAGUAAUAUCCACAAUGGGAAAAAAUGUAUCUUUUAGACAUUUUUCCUGUUUAACACUGUCUAAAAUUACAUUAUAUUACAAUAUUACAUGCCACUAGAAAUGCAUGUGUUGCACUCAUGACAUCAAAUCAGAUAACACAUGACCAAUUUAAUUAUAUCUGUUGUAAAUUAAGCACAUUUAAUCAUGGAGAACAGAAAACAGUUUGUGUUUGCACAGAGGAAUGUUUGUUUUUGCAG